GUGAGCUAAACGCGCAUAUGGUGUAUUCGCGUGCGUCGCAUAGCACGUAUUAAAUGCGCGUUUAGGGGUGAUAGGCUUUUCAAACAUUCGUAUAACUUGUUUCAUAUGAAAAGUAUUUAGUACCUAAACAAAUUUGAAAAGUUAAGCUUUUAAAUUAUUAUUAAAGAUAUUAUUCCCUUGUAGUGUAGUUUAAUAGCUAUCUACAUAGUAACUUAACAUUAAGUAUGUUAGUUUAUAUAUUAUAGUAUGACUUUAACAAUUUUGUUAAUAAAUUGAAAAUGUUAGUAUUAGUAAUAUUAGUAUGUGUGCUAAAGGAACUCGGCAAAAAACCGCUCAACUGUUUAUCAAAAACAUAGCUAUAUGAAUUAGUAUAUAGUUGUUUCUGCUCAAUGACUUAAAUAGCCGCAGUACUCUGACUGUGCAAAGGUAGCAUAAUCAGUUGGCUUUUAAUUAAAGUCUGGUAUGAACGAAAAUAUGGGUAGUAACUGUCUUAGCACAUUUCUUUGAACUUGUUAAACAAGUGCAAAUGCUUGUAAUUAAACAAUAGACGAGAAGACCCUAGAAACUUGGACAUAUUUUUGUUGGGGCGACAGAAUUACAUUUAACUAAUCUUCUAAUACACGACGCGAUGCUGAAAGAAUAAGUUACUCUAGGGAUAACAGCAUAAUUUCAUUAGUUUGUGACCUCGAUGUUGGACUAGGUACUAUACCCUUAAGGCAAGGAUAUAUUGUGCUCUGUUCGAGCAAAAUUACCUACAUGAUCUGAGUUCAGAC
rnacentral:rRNA from 1 species